UACAGAGGUCUCGAGCGUUAGGCGGAAUCACUGGGCUUAAAGCGUGUGUAGGCGGAUCGUUAAGUACCUUGUGAAAUCCCACGGCUUAACCGUGGAACUGCUUGGUAUACUGGCGGUCUUGAGCCAGCUAGGGGCUACCGGAACAAAUGGUGGAGCGGUGAAAUGCGUAGAUAUCAUUUGGAACGCCAAUGGUGAAAACAGGAUAGCUGGGGCUGUGCUGACGCUGAGACACGAAAGCCAGGGGAGCAAACGGG
rnacentral:rRNA from 1 species